UAAAAAGGUAGAGGUUGCGUGAUUCAUAAGUAGCAAAAGGGGAGAACGCCGAAAGGAUAUGGUGAUCUGCAGUCGUAUCUUUGGGCAUAGGAUGAAGAAUUCUAUGACUCUCAUCGGUAUAUCAGAUGGAGGCGCUAUCCGAAAA
rnacentral:ncRNA from 2 species